rnacentral:rRNA from 1 species
GACGAACGCUGGCGGCGUGCCUAAUACAUGCAAGUCGAGCGGACCGGAUUGGGGCUUGCCUUGAUUCGGUCAGCGGCGGACGGGUGAGUAACACGUGGGCAACCUGCCCGCAAGACCGGGAUAACUCCGGGAAACCGGAGCUAAUACCGGAUAACACCGAAGACCGCAUGGUCUUCGGUUGAAAGGCGGCCUUUGGGCUGUCACUUGCGGAUGGGCCCGCGGCGCAUUAGCUAGUUGGUGAGGUAACGGCUCACCAAGGCGACGAUGCGUAGCCGGCCUGGGAGGGUGACCGGCCACACUGGGACUGAGACACGGCCCAGACUCCUACGGGAGGCAGCAGUAGGGAAUCGUCCGCAAUGGGCGAAAGCCUGACGGAGCGACGCCGCGUGAGCGAAGAAGGCCUUCGGGUCGUAAAGCUCUGUUGUGAGGGACGAAGGAGCGUCGUUCGAAGAGGGCGGCGCGGUGACGGUACCUCACGAGAAAGCCCCGGCUAACUACGUG